rnacentral:rRNA from 1 species
AUUGAACGCUGGCGGCAUGCUUUACACAUGCAAGUCGAACGGUAACAGGCCUUCGGGUGCUGACGAGUGGCGGACGGGUGCGUAAUGCAUCGGAACGUGCCCAGAGGUGGGGGAUAACGCAGCGAAAGCUGUGCUAAUACAGCAUGUGGUCUGAGGAUGAAAGCGGGGGACCGGGCAGCAAAGUUUGGCCUCGCGCCUUUGGAGCGGCCGAUGUCAGAUUAGGUAGUUGGUGGGGUAAAGGCCUACCAAGCCGACGAUCUGUAGCUGGUCUGAGAGGACGACCAGCCACAACGGGCCUGAGCCACGCCCCGGUCUUCCGAGCUAGGGUGCGGUCCGGACUCAUGGUGAACGCUGGCAGCAUUGAUCAAACAAGCAAGUGGGAGGGAAACAGGCCUUCGGGUUGUAAACCGCUUUUGUACGGAACGAAAAGGCUCUGGCUAAUACCUGGGGCUGAUGACGGUACCGUAAGAAUAAGCACCGGCUAACUACGUG